UUUGGACUAUGUAUAUGAAACUCAGUUUGUUUAGCUUCUAUUUUCUCUAGCAGCUCUCUACUACUGUUCGUAGUAGUGUUUGAUUUACAGGUAUAGCUGUCGCUUCGUAUACAGGGAAAAUUUCUUUGUAUACGGCGGAUUUGUCGGCGUGUCUGGGGAACGAGACAACCGGGGCGUGACAGAUUAAGUUGGUAUCAGAGCUUUGCUAUAGGUCGUUGGGA
rnacentral:lncRNA from 1 species